rnacentral:rRNA from 1 species
GCAAGUCGAGCGGGUGAGGUUGCUUCGGUAACUGAGCUAGCGGCGGACGGGUGAGUAAUGCUUAGGAAUCUGCCCUUUAGUGGGGGACAACAUUCCGAACGGGAUGCUAAUACCGCAUACGCCCUACGGGGGAAAGCAGGGGAUCUUCGGACCUUGCGCUAAAUGAUGAGCCUAAGUCGGAUUAGCUAGUUGGUGGGGUAAAGGCCUACCAAGGCGACGAUCUGUAGCGGGUCUGAGAGGGUGAUC